GCCUCCCUCUUUCUUCGUGCCUAAUACAUGCAAGUCGAGCGGACGAAUCGAAAGCUUGCUUUUGAUUCGUUAGCGGCGGACGGGUGAGUAACACGUGGGCAACCUGCCCUGUAGACGGGGAUAACACCGAGAAAUCGGUGCUAAUACCGGAUAACACGAAAUGUCGCAUGACGUUUCGUUGAAAGACGGCGCAAGCUGUCGCUACAGGAUGGGCCCGCGGCGCAUUAGCUAGUUGGUGAGGUAACGGCUCACCAAGGCGACGAUGCGUAGCCGACCUGAGAGGGUGAUCGGCCACACUGGGACUGAGACACGGCCCAGACUCCUACGGGAGGCAGCAGUAGGGAAUCUUCCGCAAUGGACGAAAGUCUGACGGAGCAACGCCGCGUGAGCGAAGAAGGCCUUCGGGUCGUAAAGCUCUGUUGUUAGGGAAGAACAAGUAACGCAGUAACUGGCGUUACCGUGACGGUACCUAACGAGAAAGCCACGGCUAACUACGUG
rnacentral:rRNA from 1 species